UGGGUAAAAGCUUACUAUAGCAGCUAACUGUUAAUUAGCAGGUCACGAUUAUCCAU
rnacentral:tRNA from 1 species